rnacentral:rRNA from 1 species
CCUACGGGAGGCAGCAGUGAGGAAUAUUGGUCAAUGGACGAGAGUCUGAACCAGCCAAGUAGCGUGAAGGAUGACUGCCCUAUGGGUUGUAAACUUCUUUUAUAUGGGAAUAAAAUGUUCCACGUGUGGGAUUUUGUAUGUACCAUAUGAAUAAGGAUCGGCUAACUCCGUGCCAGCAGCCGCGGUAAUACGGAGGAACCGAGCGUUAUCCGGGUUUAUUGGGUUUAAAGGGAGCGUAGGUGGGUUGUUAAGUCAGUUGUGAAAGUUUGCGGCUCAACCGUAAAAUUGCAGUUGAAACUGGCAGUCUUGAGUACAGUAGGGGUGGGCGGAAUUCGUGGUGUAGCGGUGAAAUGCUUAGAUAUCACGAAGAACUCCGAUUGCGAAGGCAGUUCACUGGACUGCAACUGACACUGAGGCUCGAAAGUGUGGGUAUCAAACAGGAUUAGAUACCCUAGUAGUC